UACGUAGGGGGCUAGCGUUGUCCGGAAUCAUUGGGCGUAAAGAGCGCGUAGGCGGCCAGAUAAGUCCGGUGUGAAAGUCACAGGCUCAACCUGUGAAUGCCGCUGGAAACUGUCUGGCUAGAGUCCGGGAGGGGCGAGUGGAAUUCCUGGUGUAGCGGUCGAAAUGCGCAGAUAUCAGGAGGAACACCAAUGGCGAAGGCAGCUCGCUGGAACGGUACUGACGCUGAGGCGCGAAAGCGUGGGGAGCAAACAGG
rnacentral:rRNA from 1 species